CAAACGGCUCUUUUAAGAGCCUCCCAAGCUUUCUCGAAAGGGGCUG
rfam:Colius striatus contig82281, whole genome shotgun sequence.